UACGUAGGGUGCGAGCGUUGUCCGGAAUUAUUGGGCGUAAAGAGCUCGUAGGCGGCUUGUUGCGUCGGAUGUGAAAGCUCGGGGCUUAACUCCGGGUCGGCAUUCGAUACGGGCAGGCUAGAGUGUGGUAGGGGAGAUCGGAAUUCCUGGUGUAGCGGUGAAAUGCGCAGAUAUCAGGAGGAACACCGGUGGCGAAGGCGGAUCUCUGGGCCAAUUACUGACGCUGAGGAGCGAAAGCGUGGGGAGCGAACAGG
rnacentral:rRNA from 1 species